rnacentral:rRNA from 1 species
UACGUAGGGUGCAAGCGUUGUCCGGAAUUAUUGGGCGUAAAGAGCUCGUAGGCGGUUCGUCGCGUCGGCUGUGAAAUCCCGAGGCUCAACCUCGGGUCUGCAGUCGAUACGGGCGGACUGGAGUUCGGCAGGGGAGACUGGAAUUCCUGGUGUAGCGGUGAAAUGCGCAGAUAUCGGGAGGAACACCAGUGGCGAAGGCGACUACCUGGCCUGUUCUUGACGCUGAGGCGCGAAAGCUAGGGUAGCAAACAGG